AUCAUAACUAGAUUAUAAUUCGCCGCAGAAACAAUUUUUUUUUAAAAUUAGUAUAUAUAAAAGUCUGCAAAUUAUAUUUAUCUAUAAAAUAUUUACAUUUUCUAGUUUACAAUUGUUAUUAAGUAACAUUCUUCCAAACCCGUUCCGCCAAACCCGUCCCGUUAAAAAACUCCGCGGUAUACCGCUAAUUUAAAUAAAUAUUUUAUAGGAUUGUAAUUAUAUUUUAGUUUA
rnacentral:sRNA from 1 species